rnacentral:rRNA from 1 species
UACGAAGGGGGCUAGCGUUGCUCGGAAUUACUGGGCGUAAAGCGCACGUAGGCGGCGACACAAGUCAGAGGUGAAAGCCCGGGGCUCAACCCCGGAACUGCCUUUGAGACUGGAUUGCUAGAAUCUUGGAGAGGCGAGUGGAAUUCCGAGUGUAGAGGUGAAAUUCGUAGAUAUUCGGAAGAACACCAGUGGCGAAGGCGGCUCGCUGGACAAGUAUUGACGCUGAGGUGCGAAAGCGUGGGGAGCAAACAGGAUUAGAUACCCCAGUAGU